GGAGAUUAGAGGUUGCUCCCUGGGGCAGGAAAGGGGCUUCCAGAGGCAGAUACUCACAAGUCACUGCUGCCUUCUAGUCUCCUCUGGCUGUCUGCUUGGUCCCUGGACCUGUCCCUAAACCAACCAGUUACACAGCCUUCUAAUUGUGGAGAUACGGCGUGCAUCUGGAAGAUCAAACCAGAUCUACAUGUACACGAAUGGAAAACGGAGGCAGCUGAACAAGACACAGCUGUUUGGAGACCAGCAUUCUGGGGAAGGCCCCUCUCUGUACAGCCCAGGAGGGAAUCUCUGAAUAGUUGCACUCUUGGACUGCGCUCAGUGUUCCUCAUCAGCUGGAGGCCGCAUCAUCAGCUUCAUUUUGUUGCCUCUGUCAUUGUUUUGGAGCCUUAGAGCGUGAACGUGCCUGGCCCCCUGCCAUGGCUGCAGGAGUGGAGCCAGGGUGUGUACUGCAGCCCAGAGGAGGAGCCUCACACUCUUCUGCAAAAAGAUUCCAGGGAGGAAA
rnacentral:lncRNA from 1 species